GAGGGUAUGAGAGGGAGAAAUGGGAUAGAGCUUUCUGUCCCUGUACUUUUUUUCCUUCAAGGAAGAGAACAGCCUAUGUGUCCAUCUUUCAGUUUCUCUGCCUAGAAGGAUAAUUAGUAGUAGUAUUUUCUAGCAAUAUCAUUUAGGUAGAGUACUUUUUACAAAUGCAUUAGAAAAUUCUAAAUUAAAAAUUAAACAUUUAAAUAUCCUUUCUUAAGCUUUCAUUUCCUUAAUUAAUAGGUAUCUCAAAUGUAAACACCUAAAAGAAUUAGGAAAAGAAAUUUCAGAGUUAACUGGAAUUUUUUUGGUUCUGCAAUAGUGGUGCAAAAAGGUUCACUUAAAUAUACUGAAUGAACUCACUAUUAAAGUUUUGUUAUUUGACAGUCAAAAUAUGCUAAAUCAAAACUAUUAACAUUUCAGGUAGGACUCUAAAAAUCCAAUUAUCUUAGUACUAAAACAAGUUUUCCUCUGUAUGAAUGAAAUUCCAGCUUUUCUUGAAAUUGGAAUUCAUAAGUAGUGCUGAUGGUAUAAAAUCUGGAAGUUCACCACAGGUUUGCUAAGAUUGCAUUGUAUAGGAAAAUCACCUUAUUCAGAUGUAGAAACUGCUUAUGUGAAACUACAAAAUGAGAAGUCCAUUGGUGCUUAGUGGGAACAUUCUCUUUUAGUAAGUCUGAUACUACAAAGUUUAUGGCAAUCUUUUCAAGUAGCCAAAAGCUGCAGAUAUUUUAAGAAGUUUAGUGACCUGAGAAUGCAAUGGCUUACUUUGUUUAAUGUGGCAUUUUUACACUAGUCACAGGUUUUUAGUCAUGCAAACAGUAAUCAAAUUCAGGUGCUUACUGCAGACACAGGAUGUACGAGAUUUUCACGAUUCCUGCCACCCUUCUUGCCAUUCCAGUCCUCCCCCCGCACUGAUGCCAGUAGAGUUUUAAAAAAGACCUGCCACUUCUGCUUCAAACCCUUUGGCUUGUGAUAAAAUCUAAACUACUAAGGUUGGUAAAAAAGAGCCCUCAUUCUCUAGCCCCACUUUAUAACCUUCCCAGACUUUCUUCCUCUGCUUACCCUUUGUAGCCUACUUUCUGCCACACUAAACUCAUUGUCUCCCUGGAUCAGCCAGGCCCUUUUACAGUUUGCCUUUGCUCAAGGUGUUUGUCUUUGGCCUAACUCCCAGUCAUGCUUAGAGAACACUGAAAUAUCUCCUCAGUAAAGUUCUAUUUCCCCUCAAGGCAGGCAGCUGCUAUAUUCUUUGGUCCCUGUUGUAUAUACCUCUGUAACUACUACCAUUGUAGACUAUAAUUCAUCUGCUUGUUUGCUCCAGGAAGGCAGCUGUCCCUGUCUGACUUGUUUGAUGCUUUAUCCACAGUGCCUGGCACAGUGUGUCUCAACCUACCAAUCUGGUGGAUGAAUGAGGGUAGGGGCUGUUUUGAUUCUUCUGUGUAGCCUUAGUCACAUGCACCUUUCCUGUCAUGAUGGCAGCUCCAAAACUUCUGCUUUAAGGAAUUCAUAAUCUAACAGAGGAAAGACCUCUGGACAAAUGAUUACAACGUAAAACUCAGUGGAAUGGAAGAUGAUAAAAAUGACUUCGGUGUCCUUUUACGGCUUUCUAGAAGCUUUUAGGAUCUUCCAUUAUUAUUAAUGUUCUGAAACUUACAUGAUGAUGUAUCCAGGUGAUGACACUGUGAGACACUGUGGAUGGAUUAUAUGAUUUUCCAGGGGCUACAUGAUGCGUGAUAUUACAACAGACUGACUACAGAAACAUGAAAAUUCAACAGUCUUCUAUUAAGCCAGAUAUUGAAGAGAUCUAAAAAAAUAUAAAACAAUUCCACUUAUCACACUAAUUUUUUUGCUCUGGAAAAUACAUUUUUCCCCUCCUUCCCUUCUCCUCCUCC